AAGAGAACUUGAUGAUUAAGUUCAGGAUUUUGUACUUUGUACUUUUUAGUAUUAAACAUAGCCUACUAUUAUUAAACAAUAACAGAAUAUCUUCAUGAGAAUCCAUAUAUCACAUACCUUAACUUAUAAAUGUAGCCUACUAUCAACUAAUUUAAUGAAUCAUUCAAAUAUUCAAGUUUUUCUUUCUGUUGGCUUCGGUUUAUAUAAAAAACGUAGGCUAUACGUGAUGUUGUCAUAGUUUUAGAGGUUUGCGCAUAUAGCGUUAGAUGAAAGUGAAAGAAGGUUGAGCUUUUAUUAGAUGAAAGGGAAAGUGUUUCACAGUGACUCUUGAUUUGAACGACCAAACCGCAGCACUUAAAGCCUCUGAAGAAAAACUUACGGACAGACAAUGGAUCGUGCUGCACAAGACAUCAAGAAAUCUCUUAACAGGAAAGGCUUUAAGGAGGUCUCUUCCAUUCAGCAAUGUCAUUUCUUACUGUUUUUCUGCCCCAUUAUUUCUCGUGCUGGAACUGACAUCGACGCUGCAGUGAAGCACAUCAAUCAAGUGAAAGCUUCCAGUUUUCACAUAUCAGUGCCAGUCAUCAUGGUGGUGCUCCAUCACACUUUUGACCCAGAGAAACUUAUACUAGACAGCAACAAUGUUAUAGCGAGCGAGUACAUAUCUGCAGUGGACUGUCUGUUCGAUGACAAUGGAUUACUGGCUGGAUGUCAGAAGAAUACGAAUGCAAUCAAUACAAUUGCAAGGGACUCAGAAUUAAAGAACUGGACUUUAUAUCAUUGCCUGAAAAACCAAUACGCAGAAAAUGAGCACUUAAUCCCUGACAGACCAGUGCCGGAUCAGGGGAGAACCAUUCAUUUCUUCGGGUGUGAUGUACCCAGAAUUUUAAUAGUUUUUUGUGUUUGUUUUUUUGUUUUUGUUCUGAUUUGUCUGAUUGUUCUGCUAACAAUUUUGCUGAAAUAAAACAAAGAAUGAAAGGACCAUUUUUGUAAUUAUCAGAAGAAAUUGUUCAGUGGUAAUUGUAGUAAUAAUGCAUUGCAUGAAGAUAAUUAAACAUUGAACAUAAAUAAUUAACAGGUUCUUUGAUAAUAUGUGUAUGUAAACCAUAAUUAUAUAGGGAAAAUAGCCUAUUCAUUAAGUUCACUUUAAGUGUUUUGUGAUUAAGUGUAUUGAAUCAAUCACACUCAAAUAUUUGCAUGUCAGUCUAAAAAAAGGUUGUUGUUCGCAAAACGUAAAUAAACAGCUGUUUGAC